rnacentral:rRNA from 1 species
GUCGAGAAUAAUUCACAAUGGACGAAAGUCUGAUGGUGCAACGCCGCGUGGAGGAUGACGGUCUUCGGAUUGUAAACUCCUGUCAUCCGGGAGUAAGACCUGGCUGUGAAUAGCAGACAGGGUUGAUAGUACCGGAAGAGGAAGGGACGGCUAACUUCGUGCCAGCAGCCGCGGUAAUACGAAGGUCCCGAGCGUUGUUCGGAAUCACUGGGCGUAAAGGGAGCGUAGGCGGCGUGGUCAGUCAGAUGUGAAAUCCCGGGGCUCAACCCCGUAACUGCAUCCUAUACUGCCGGGCUAGAGGAUUGGAGAGGUAGCUGGAAUUCUUGGUGUAGCAGUGAAAUGCGUGGAGAUCAAGAGGAACACUCGUGGCGAAAGCGAGCUACUGGAUAAUAUCUGACGCUGAGGCUCGAAGGCCAGGGUAGCGAAAGGGAUUAGAUACCCCAGUAGUCC